UACGUAGGGUGCAAGCGUUAAUCGGAAUACUGGGCGUAAAGCGUGCGCAGGCGGCUAUGCAAGACAGAUGUGAAAUCCCCGGGCUCAACCUGGGAACUGCAUUUGUGACUGCAUAGCGUAGAGUACGGUAGAGGGGGAUGGAAUUCCGCGUGUAGCAGUGAAAUGCGUAGAUAUGCGGAGGAACACCGAUGGCGAAGGCAAUCCCCUGGACCUGUACUGACGCUCAUGCAC
rnacentral:rRNA from 1 species